GCCAUCUUGGGUUGUCUAUUGCACCUUUGUAUACCAGAAUUUUUCAUGCACUGAAGUUUGCUUAAGCAAGAUGAAGACUAUAGCGCUUUGUAUUUUUGCACUGUUUCUUUGUUCGUUGCUAGUCGAGGGCGGCAUGAAAUUUAACCUCUGUCCGGAGUGUGGCUGCACGGUAGCAAGAGGACACCAAUAAGCUUAGAAAUGAACCUACUCCCAAGUUUAGAGACGAAGGAGUGGCUGAUAAUUUAGAAAUGUUAAGGACGAAAAUCCGCAGAUGCUUGGAGGAGGUUAGAGCAGGUUUUUAAUUUAUCUGUUCGGUUUGCCCUGUUGAUAUUAGUUAAGUUAUUCAGUGUUUAAUUGAAGGAGAAAGUCACGGUACUUUAAUUUUCAUUCUUUCAACUAUCUGUCAGAGCUUGGCGGUCUUGUUUUUAUGUUUAUUUUUUCGAAUAAAGUUGAUGGUAAAUUUUAAAAUCAUGUUUACGAAACCUUUAGGCACAACGUGAGCGGCAGUACGGGAUAGGCAUCUGUUUACAGGCCCGCUAGCUGGGAUGUAAAAUGGACCAACGGAAAUAAGUUUCCCCAAAUGGAAGAUUCACUAAGCUAACUCAAAGUUACUGCAAAAUGUUAUUCUUAAAUGAUGAAAUUGAGAUGUAGAUGUCUUUUUAUAUAACGCUAUCAUCACUAUUGUAUUUUAAUGAAAUUAAACUGUUUGAAUAAAGGCUGUGGUCCAUAUGAUAAACA